rnacentral:misc_RNA from 1 species
UAUAAAGAGAAACAGAGGCAGCAACGAUGGUUACUUUAUAAUCGUGUUACGCCUGGUUUACUGUAAAAGUUAAUAAUUAUGCGUGACGUAAUCGAAGAAGUAUCAAAUAAGCGAGUGCGUAUUAUUAUCAAACGACAAUUAUAAGAGAAUUAAAUUCUUAAUAUUAUUACGUAAUUUAAAAAUGAACGAAUAAGAGAGACCGAUCGAUGAUCCUCGAUAAAAACAGACGAACUUUUCAAUCGUCUGCCAUCAAAAUUCGUCGUUCGAAAUCCCAAAAUUUGAUAAAAAUGUGAAGAAAGAAAUGGGAUUUAAUUAUUUAUUUCGAUUAAAAUGAAAGAUUUUGGAUUAAAUUUAGUCAGUGUUAGAAUCAAAAUGAGAAUACAACAAGAAAAUAUACGCCGACAAAGAAGACAUGAGAUACACAGAAAAAGAAGACCAAAUUUAAUCCUUGAAGAAGCAGAAUGGAUGCAAAUUAGCUGUAUAGAUGUCAGUUGGAAGAUUUAUACAAAUAAUUGAAAUGAUGAAUUCAUCUAACAUUGAUGUAAAUGUUUUAAGAGUUAUAAAAAGAAAUCUUGAAAGAGGUGAAAAAUAUAUCCAAGCCUUUAUGAGGUGUAAUAAUUUUUUAAUAUUUCUUUAAAUGAUUUAUUUAUAAAUCUACUGGUGUUAAUAAUUAAUAUGUAUUGUAUUUUACAGCAUAUAAGAUUCAUUUCCAUUUCAGCACAGAAUAUUUAGGAAAAGUACUUAGUGUGUUUAACUGUAGCCUACUGAAGGCUGUAAGGGUACGUCCUAUGUGGCAGCAUCCAGCAACUGCGAGCAUGAACUUUCUUCUAAGCGGAGUGAACAAACUGGUUCAAGCAAAUGUGCGUGUCCAGAGUAACUGCGUUUAGCAUGCAGUGGCCACCAGAUAACACUUCUACAUACAUAUAUAUAUAUUUGUAUGUGAAACUUAUAUUAAUAUCUACUGCAACAAUAUAUAUUAUACUUUACAUAUUUCUGUUAAUUGACUAUUACUUAUUUGUUUACUUUUAAGUUAUCAAUCUAGCUUAUUAUUUAUAAUGCAGAUAUUCAAUGUCAUCUGUCUUACAUGUAAAUUGUUACGGUAAUAAUUUACAGUAUAUAUCUCAUGUAAACACAUUGAAGCUCAUUACUUUAUAUUCCUGUGUUCAAUUUUAAACAUGUAUAAACUGGUUAUGCUAUUGCGGUUCCAGUGAUGCAAUAUUGUUGCAUUAAUAAAAAGAUUGUGUGCGUGCAUUUGUGUGCGCGUGCAUGUGCAGGAAGCAGCUACCAAGCAUAUUUGAUUGCCUCUUCCACUGCUCGCACUUCCAAAGAAGAAAAUGGCUGAUUUUGUAGAUGAAUGAAAACAGAAUGACAAAUAAAUUGUGUAUAUAUGUUGUAUGUACUUUAAUUAAUAAUCUUUAGCGUAAUUUAAUUAUUUCUGAUUUUGUAAAUGUAACUUUUUUUAACUUAUUAUUUUAUAAAGAUUAUUUAUAUUUGUUGUGUAUCUAGUUAGUGACAACAAUUACCUGUCAAAUUUACCAUUGUAAUGCUUGUCAUAUUUUCCUUAGCAAGCAUUCAUUGAAGUCGUUUCGCUGCUAUUUUGUAAACAACACUCGUCCACUCUAGACAGAAAUCGCUCGCGAGUUAGAUGCGCAUACAAAGAUUCUUUCUGCUCGUGGUCGGUGGAUGCUGCCACGUAGGAUGUACCCUUAGGGAAAUUCAUUAACUUGUAGGAGAUCACAUGUAAGGCACAGGGCAAUUUUUUUUUUCUAUUUCUUUGUAAACAAAAGUUACAUCUUGUAUGCUGUAAAAUAUGGUAUAUUAUUGGAAGGAAAGGUGAUAAGUCAGAUUCAAUUGAACUUUUCAAUUUUAUGAAAUACUUUCCUGUUUUAAA